rnacentral:rRNA from 1 species
UACGUAGGGUGCGAGCGUUGUCCGGAAUUACUGGGCGUAAAGAGCUCGUAGGUGGUUUGUCGCGUUGUUCGUGAAAUCUCACGGCUUAACUGUGAGCGUGCGGGCGAUACGGGCAGACUAGAGUACUGCAGGGGAGACUGGAAUUCCUGGUGUAGCGGUGGAAUGCGCAGAUAUCAGGAGGAACACCAAUGGCGAAGGCGGCUCUCUGGGACGGUACUGACGCUGAGACGCGAAAGCGUGGGAGCGAACAGG